GCAAACCGCACGCAAAUGUGAGAGUAAACGGAGCCACGACAGCGGACUUUACAAUUAACAAUGGUACCCGUCAAGGUUGCCCACUAUCUCCACUUUUGUUCGCUAUGACCCUAGAACCACUGCUCCAGAAGAUACGACUAAACCCAAACAUUCAAGGAUACAGCUGGCGUGGAACACACCAUAAAGUGGCUGCGUACGCGGAUGACCUCCUAUUCUUUAUACAGCACCCUAGGACAACUCUACCAUGCCUCCUUUCCGAAUUCGACAAUUUCGGGAAAAUCUCGGGCUUCAAACUCAAUCUCUCAAAGUGUGAGGUCCUGAACAUUACGAUCCCCACG